GUUCUGUGGCUGUCGGAACCACCGCUGAGGCUUUUGUUCUUUGGUUCAGACAGUAUUCUUUAGUUACAGAUUAAGUUAUCGGAGCCACAUGUUGCGCGAAAGGGUUGUCCUUACUGCUGCGAAAGUGAACAAAGCUAUGAUGUAAGCUGCUGGUAAAUUCGGGUUGAUUGAGAGUUCCGAUGACGCGUUUGGGUUAUGGUUUCGCGUUUUGAGGAUAUGGGUGCAGAAGUCACAAAGAGUUUACUUUGUUGUUGAUAUGCUCUGUAUUACUUUAGAUUAUUAUUCAUUGUACCCUUGCCUUUAUCUUGAUACAUUCUGUAAGAGGGAUAGGAAUUGUAUUGGUUAAUGCUUGUAAUAUGAUAUAUAUAUCUAUGUAUAUAUAUGGAUGUAUCC